GUGCACGCUGGCGGUAGGCCUAACCCCUGCAAGUCGCACGGCAGCACAGUAAGAGCUUGCUCUUACGGGUGGCGAGUGGCGGACGGGUGAGGAAUACAUCGAAAUCUACUUUUUCGUGGGGGAUAACGUAGGGAAACUUACGCUAAUACCGCAUACGACCUACGGGUGAAAGCAGGGGAUCUUCGGACCUUGCGCGAUUGAAUGAGCCGAUGUCGGAUUAGCUAGUUGGCGGGGUAAAGGCCCACCAAGGCGACGAUCCGUAGCUGGUCUGAGAGGAUGAUCAGCCACACUGGAACUGAGACACGGUCCAGACUCCUACGGGAGGCAGCAGUGGGGAAUAUUGGACAAUGGGCGCAAGCCUGAUCCAGCCAUACCGCGUGGGUGAAGAAGGCCUUCGGGUUGUAAAGCCCUUUUGUUGGGAAAGAAAAGCAGCAGGUUAAUACCCCGCUGUUCUGACGGUACCCAAAGAAUAAGCACCGGCUAACUUCGUG
rnacentral:rRNA from 1 species